UCACCUCCACCGAAUCUCCGCUAAUUGUGCCACUGCCACACCGAGAAUUCCUCUCUCUCCCUCCCGGUUUCACCUCUGGUCUCUCUCUCUUCCCCAAACGCGCAACAGCGCUAGGGAUUUGCCGUCCCACCAAAUCGCGAUUCAGAUCAUGGAGGGCGGCGUAGGAACUGUCGAAUCCUGCCACCCACAGAAUCCUUCUUCCUCUCCUUCCCUUCUCUAUACCCAACAAGGCGAUUGGGCGGACCGGCGACAGGCGGGGCAACGGAAAAGGGUGGGCGAUGCCGUGACGAGAUGAGGGAAUGAGGCGGAGAAACCGAGCGGACGAGCAACCGGACAGACACAGCUCGAGCUUCCUUCUGUAACUCCUACAUUGGUGUUUAAAGACUUGGCGGUAAACCGAGUGCAAUUAGGCAACAGCAGUGCCAAGGUUCAGUUCAGCAAGGAGACCAAGUGCCCCUACAUUGUCCAUUCCUACAACACCCUGGCCUGUCAAACGAGAAGACUCGAUGCAGCCAGCUACGACUAUGGCCCACUUGACAACCAAGCCAAACAACACGCAAAACAAGCCAAGAACAUGCAGAUGAAGUAAGCACUAAGUUGGUGACUUGGUGUAAGAGUAUGGACUUGAACACGAUGAAUGAUGUACUCGCCGGA